GGUGUUGUGGCUCAAUGGUAGAGCACUCGCCUACAAGUGUGAGGCUCUGGGUUUGAUCCUCAGCACCACAU
rnacentral:tRNA from 1 species